AACGAACGCUGGCGGCAUGCCUAACACAUGCAAGUCGAACGAGAUCUUCGGGUCUAGUGGCGCACGGGUGCGUAACGCGUGGGAAUCUGCCCUUUGGUUCGGAAUAACAGUUGGAAACGACUGCUAAUACCGGAUGAUGACGAAAGUCCAAAGAUUUAUCGCCAGAGGAUGAGCCCGCGUAGGAUUAGCUAGUUGGUGUGGUAAAGGCGCACCAAGGCGACGAUCCUUAGCUGGUCUGAGAGGAUGAUCAGCCACACUGGGACUGAGACACGGCCCAGACUCCUACGGGAGGCAGCAGUGGGGAAUAUUGGACAAUGGGCGAAAGACUGAUCCGGCAAUGCCGCGUGAGUGAUGAAGGCCUUAGGGUUGUAAAGCUCUUUUACCCGGGAUGAUAAUGACAGUACCGGGAGAAUAAGCUCCGGCUAACUCCGUGCCAGCAGCCGCAGUAA
rnacentral:rRNA from 1 species